UUGGAGGGCAAGUCUGGUGCCAGCAGCCGCGGUAAUUCCAGCUCCAAUAGCGUAUAUUAAAGUUGUUGCAGUUAAAGAGCUCGUAGUUGAAUUUCGGGAUUAGUACGUCGGUCGUGCCUUAGGUACGUACUGGUGUUACUGGUUCCUACCUUCUGACGAACCAUCAUGUCAUUAAUUUGGUGUGGUGGGGAAUCAGGACUGUUACUUUGAAAAAAUUAGAGUGUUUAAAGCAGGCUCGCGCUUGAAUACAUUAGCAUGGAAUAAUGAAAUAGGGCGUUGAUCCUAUUUUGUUGGCUUCUAGGAUUGACGUAAUGAUUAAUAGGGAUAGUUGGGGGCAUUAGUAUUCAAUUGUCAGAGGUGAAAUUCUUGGAUUUAUUGAAGACUAACUACUGCGAAAGCAUUUGCCAAGGAUGUUUUCAUUAAUCAAGAACGAAAGUUAGGGGAUCGAAGACGAUCAGAUACCGUCGUAGUCUUAACCAUAAACUAUGCCGACUAGGGAUCGGAUGAUGUUAUUUUUAAUGACUCAUUCGGCACCUUACGGGAAAC
rnacentral:rRNA from 1 species